GACAGAGGUGGCUAGCGUUGUUCGGAUUUAUUGGGCGUAAAGCGCACGCAGGCGGUUUGGUAAGUCAGGGGUGAAAGGCCACAGCUUAACUGUGGUAUUGCCUUUGAUACUGCCUUUCUUGAGUGCAUGAGGGGGAAGCGGAAUUCCGAGUGUAGAGGUGAAAUUCGUAGAUAUUCGGAGGAACACCGGUGGCGAAGGCGGCUUCCUGGCAUGUAACUGACGCUCAUGUGCGAAAGCGUGGGGAGCAAACAGG
rnacentral:rRNA from 1 species